rnacentral:rRNA from 1 species
GACGAACGCUGGCGGCGUGCUUAACACAUGCAAGUCGAACGGAAAGGCCCUGCUUUUGUGGGGUGCUCGAGUGGCGAACGGGUGAGUAACACGUGAGUAACCUGCCCUUGACUUUGGGAUAACUUCAGGAAACUGGGGCUAAUACUGGAUAGGAGCUCCUGCGGCAUGGGGGGGGUGGGAAAGUUUCGGCGGUUGGGGAUGGACUCGCGGCUUAUCAGCUUGUUGGUGGGGUAGUGGCUUACCAAGGCUUUGACGGGUAGCCGGCCUGAGAGGGUGACCGGCCACAUUGGGACUGAGAUACGGCCCAGACUCCUACGGGAGGCAGCAGUGGGGAAUAUUGCACAAUGGGCGGAAGCCUGAUGCAGCAACGCCGCGUGCGGGAUGACGGCCUUCGGGUUGUAAACCGCUUUCGCCUGUGACGAAGCGUGAGUGACGGUAAUGGGUAAAGAAGCACCGGCUAACUACGUG